GCGUGAGUGAAGAAGGUUUUCGGAUCGUAAAGCUCUGUUGUUGGUGAAGAAGGAUAGAGGUAGUAACUGGCCUUUAUUUGACGGUAAUCAACCAGAAAGUCACGGCUAACUACGUGCCAGCAGCCGCGGUAAU
rnacentral:rRNA from 1 species